CCUACGGGAGGCAGCAGUGAGGAAUAUUGGUCAAUGGGCGUAAGCCUGAACCAGCCAAGUAGCGUGAGGGAUGAAGGUUCUAUGGGUCGUAAACCGCUUUUAUAAGGGCAUAAAGGGCGGGACGUGUCCCGUUUAGUAUGUACCUUAUCACUAAGAGUAGGCUAACUCCGUGCCAGCGGCCGCGGUAUUACGGAGGAUCCGAGCGUUAUCCGGAUUUAUUGGGUUUAAGGGGUGCGUAGGGGGGCUUUUAAGUCAGCGGUGAAAGUCUGUGGCGCAACCAUAGAAUUGCCGUUGAAACUGGGAGGCUUGAGUAUGUUCGAGGCAGGCGGAAUGCGUGGUGUAGCGGUGAAAUGCUUAGAUAUCAUGCAGAACCCCGAUUGCGAAGGCA
rnacentral:rRNA from 1 species